rnacentral:lncRNA from 1 species
ACACUCAUUAGAAUCACAGAGUGGCCUGGAAGGGAACCCGAGGAUCAUCAAGUUCCAAGCCCCUGCUACAAGCAGGACUUACAGCUGCCAGAUCAAGUACUUGAUCAGAUUACGAUCAGAUUGCCCAGGGCUCUUGUCCAACUCGGUCCUGAACGCCUCCAGGGACAGAGCAUCCACAGCCUCUUUGGGCAGCCCGCUCCAGCACCUCACCACUCUCUCUGUGAAGAACUUCCCCCUGACAUCCAAUCUAAACCCUCCCUCCUUGACCUACGAGGAGUAAAAGGAAGGCCUGCAAGUGAGCUUCUGAACGCAUCUGAGCGUUUACCCCAGAUUUUUCUAGCAUUUCCCUGGGAUGUUCAGCGUGGCCCACAUUGCCUCACCCUCCGCUGGAGCCGCGCUGCGGGACCCCGCGCAGCGUCCCAGCCGGGCGAGCUCUGGUUCCCCCGCCCCACCGACCUGCUCACCGCCCACCGGGAUGCCGCAUUCGAGAUCGAACCAGGCCCCUCCUCCUCCUCGCCCCCGCGGGAGCCGCGCCGGGCAGCGGGGAAGGAGGAGCUGAGCGGCUCCUCGUCCUCCGAGCCGCAGAGGGACGGCGGCCGCGCGGCCCUCCUCAUGGCGGCGGCAGGCACCUGCGUGAGGGGACGGCCGUUAGCGUUCCCGCGCAGCGCCGCGGCCCACAGCCGAGCUCCCGGCGGGCCCCGCGCCGCCGCCAUGGAGACCGGCAAGCGGCACCGCCCCGCGCAUGCGCGCUCUGGACACAGGACUGCAGAUGGGGCCUCGCAGGGGGAGAACGGGGGGGGACGGUCGCCUCCUGAGGGACGGGCCCCUAGCCGGCUGGAACGUACACAGAAAAAAGUGCGUCAAGAAGCUGCAGACCAAGAUAAUUUGAGCAUAUCGUACCAAGGCCAGUUCAUUUUCUGGGGAAUUAAAGCACUGGAAGAGCAGAAAUAUCCAAGACUGAAGAGAAGCAGAGGUGUAAGAUCGGCGUUAGGGCUUUUACUGUUGUGCCCCGCUUCUCACGCCAGCUCCACAGCAGGCACUGUGCCCGAGUUAAUGCCGGCAAGAUCCCAGACAAUGUGA